CCACAAUGGGCCCCAAGCCUGAUGCAGCAACGCCGCGUGAGGGAUGACGGCCUUCGGGUUGUAAACCUCUUUUAGUAGGGAAGAAGCGAAAGUGACGGUACCUGCAGAAAAAGCACCGGCUAACUACGUGCCAGCAGCCGCGGUAAUACGUAGGGUGCGAGCGUUGUCCGGAAUUAUUGGGCGUAAAGAGCUCGUAGGCGGUCUGUCGCGUCUGCUGUGAAAACCCGAGGCUCAACCUCGGGCCUGCAGUGGGUACGGGCAGACUAGAGUGCGGUAGGGGAGAAUGGAAUUCCUGGUGUAGCGGUGGAAUGCGCAGAUAUCAGGAGGAACACCGAUGGCGAAGGCAGUUCUCUGGGCCGUAACUGACGCUGAGGAGCGAAAGCGUGGGGAGCGAACAGGAUUAGAUACCCUGGUAGUCCACGCCGUAAACGUUGGGCGCUAGAUGUGGGGACCAUUCCACGGUUUCCGUGUCGCAGCUAACGCAUUAAGCGCCCCGCCUGGGGAGUACGGCCGCAAGGCUAAAACUCAAAGGAAUUGACGGGGGCCCGCACAAGCGGCGGAGCAUGCGGAUUAAUUCGAUGCAACGCGAAGAACCUUACCAAGGCUUGACAUACACGAGAACGCCCUAGAAAUAGGGAACUCUUUGGACACUCGUGAACAGGUGGUGCAUGGUUGUCGUCAGCUCGUGUCGUGAGAUGUUGGGUUAAGUCCCGCAACGAGCGCAACCCUCGUUCUAUGUUGCCAGCGCGUAAUGGCGGGAACUCAUAGGAGACUGCCGGGGUCAACUCGGAGGAAGGUGGGGAUGACGUCAAAUCAUCAUGCCCCUUAUGUCUUGGGCUUCACGCAUGCUACAAUGGCCGGUACAAAGGGCUGCAAUACCGUAAGGUGGAGCGAAUCCCAAAAAGCCGGUCUCAGUUCGGAUUGAGGUCUGCAACUCGACCUCAUGAAGUCGGAGUCGCUAGUAAUCGCAGAUCAGCAACGCUGCGGUGAAUACGUUCCCGGGCCUUGUACACACCGCCCGUCAAGUCAUGAAAGUCGGUAACACCCGAAGCCGG
rnacentral:rRNA from 1 species